UACGUAGGUGGCAAGCGUUGUCCGGAAUUACUGGGUGUAAAGGGAGCGUAGGCGGGGAUGCAAGUUGAAUGUUUAAACUAUCGGCUCAACUGAUAGUCGCGUUCAAAACUGCAACUCUUGAGUGAAGUAGAGGUAGGCGGAAUUCCUAGUGUAGCGGUGAAAUGCGUAGAUAUUAGGAGGAACACCAGUGGCGAAGGCGGCCUACUGGGCUUUUACUGACGCUGAGGCUCGAAAGCAUGGGGAGCAAA
rnacentral:rRNA from 1 species